rnacentral:rRNA from 1 species
AGUAAAUAGAUACCCCGGUAGUCCACGCUGUAAACGAUGUCGAUUUGGAGUCUGUGCCACUAUGAGCGUGGGUUCCGAAAGCUAACGCGAUAAAUCGACCGCCUGGGGAGUAUGGCCGCAAGGUUAAAACUCAAAUGAAUUGACGGGGGCCCGCACAAGCGGUGGAGCAUGUGGUUUAAUUCGAUGCAACGCGAAGAACCUUACCUGGCCUUGACAUGCUGAGAACUUUCCAGAGAUGGAUUGGUGCCUUCGGGAACUCAGACACAGGUGCUGCAUGGCUGUCGUCAGCUCGUGUCGUGAGAUGCUGGGUUAAGUCCCGCAACGAGCGCAACCCCGUAUCCUUUGUUGCCAGCGGGUAAAGCCGGGAACUCAAGGGAGACUGCCGGUGAUAAACCGGAGAAGUGGGGAUGACGUCAAGUCAUCAUGGCCCUUACGGCCAGGGCUACACACGUGCUACAAUGGCGUAUACAGAGGGAAGCGACCUCGCGAGAGCAAGCGGAACCCACAAAGUACGUCGUAGUCCGGAUUGGA